UGUGUGUGUGUGUGUGUGUGUGUGUGUGUGUGUGUGUGGUUACGCAGAGACCCGGACAGGUGAGGUGACUCUGGAGCCUAUAGCCCAGUGUGUGUGUGUGUGUGUGUGUGUGUGUGUGUGUGUGUGUGU